rnacentral:lncRNA from 1 species
AGAGGAGGACCCAUAUGGAGAUGUCGGUACCUUGUCUUUGCAGUUGUCUAUCGAGGCAGGCACAUCAUCUCCUAUCAUGACAGAUUGAUUUUAUAUAUUAUAAUUUUUUUAUAUUUAAUUUAUUUUAAUUUUUUAUCAUAUAUAAAUAAUUAAUUUUAAGUUUUUAUUUUGCUGUAACUAAUACUGUCAUUAAGCGGACUAGUGGAGCCGUCAAAAAUGAGAAGUUUGAGG